rnacentral:rRNA from 1 species
UUUUAAAGGUGACUGCGUGCCUAUUGAAGAAUGAGCCUGCGAGUUAAUUUAAAUAGCAUGGUUAAAGGAUAAAAGUUCUGGAGCCGUAGCGAAAGCGAGUCUGAAUAGGGCGAAUUUGUUGUUUGGAUUAGACCCGAAACCGGGUGAGCUACCCAUGGCCAGGUUGAAGCCAAGAUAAUAUCUUGGUGAAGGACCGAACCCGUGUAAAGUGCAAAUUGCUGGGAUGAGCUGUGGGUAGAGGUAAAAUGCCAAUCGAACCCGGAGAUAGCUGGUUCUCUCCGAAAUGUAUUUAGGUACAGCGUUAAAUUAGUCUUAGGGAGGUAGAGCACUGGAUGGAUAAGGGGGCGUAAGCCUACCAAGUUCAACCAAACUCCGAAUGCCUUAAGAUGAUGUUUAGCAGUGAGACCGUGGGGGAUAAGCUCCAUUGUCAAAAGGGAAACAGCCCAGAUCACAAGCUAAGGUCCCUAAGUCUGAACUAAGUGGGAAAGGAAGUUAGAAUCCACAAACAGCCAGGAGGUUGGCUUAGAAGCAGCCACCCUUUAAAGAAAGCGUAAUAGCUCACUGGUCGAGGUUUUUAGCGCCUAAAAUGUAACGGGGCUAAAGUUCAGCACCGAAGCUGUGAGUUUCUUAUUUUUAAUAAGAAGCGGUAGGAGAGCGUUGUCAGUGCACUGAAUCUGAAAUGUGAGUUUUGGUGGAGCGCUGAGAAGUGAGAAUGCAGGCAUGAGUAGCGACAAUCGUGGUGAGAAUCCACGACACCGGAAGCCCAAGGUUUCCUACGCAAUGUUGAUCAUCGUAGGGUUAGUCGGGCCUAAGUGGUAGCGUAUAGCGAACACGAUGGACAUCGGGUCAAAAUUCCCGAACCGUUCAUGUUGUGUUUAAAAUAAAGGGGGGACGCAAGAAGGUAAGUAAAGCAUACCUAUUGGACAUGGUAUGUUUGUUUUUGUAGAUGAUGACCAGAUAGGUAAAUCCGUCUGGUAUUUUAGUUGAGGAAAACAAAAACUAGAGAGCUUAGCUCAAAGGAAUUUUGCUGAUCCUAUGUUGCCAAGAAAAUCCUCGUUAUUAAUAACAUGAGCGACCGUACCGCAAACCGACACAGGUAGGCAGGGAUAAACGUCCCAAGGUGAACGAAAGAACCUUCGUUAAGGAACUCGACAGAUUGACCCCGUAACUUAGGGAGAAGGGGUGCCUGUUAUUUGAUACUGAUUUACUUAGUAAAGGGUAAUAGGCCGCAGUGAAUCGGUCCAAGCGACUGUUUAUCAAAAACAUAGGUCUAUGCUAAAGCGAAAGCUGAUGUAUAUGGGCUGACGCCUGCCCAGUGCCGGAAGGUUAAGAGGAGAGGUUAGGAUUUAUCCAAAGCUUUGAAUUGAAGCCCCGGUGAACGGCGGCCGUAACUAUAACGGUCCUAAGGUAGCGAAAUCCCUUGUCAGGUAAGUUCUGACCCGCACGAAUGGCGUAACGACUUGGACAUUGUCUCAACGAAGGACUCGGUGAAAUUGCAGGACCAGUGAAGAUGCUGGUUACCUACGACAGGACAAAAAGACCCCGUGGAGCUUUACUGCAGCUUGGCAGUGAUUUAGGCUUAUAAACAUGUAGGAUAGGCGGGAGACUUUGAAACUUUAACGCUAGUUAGAGUGGAGUCGCCCUUGAAAUACCGCCUUUUUAUAAUCUUGGAUCUAACUUUAUUUUAUUAUGAAGGACCCUGCCUGGUGGGCAGUUUGACUGGGGCGGUCGCCU